GGCAAACCAUUUCACGUAUAAACGGAUGCAAAUGAAUCUCUCCCAUCGCUUCACCGUCGUUCUCAUCCACCAUCUACAAGCCCUAAACCUUCCCCAAUCUUCAAUUCAUCGUCGCCAAAUCCAAUUUCUACUACCUAGGGUUUUGUGUCAGACGAGAUUUUCAAGGAUCCGAAGAAUGGCAAGCUUGGCAACCAACAUUGUCUAUACCUAAGUCAUCACGUUAUCAACAAAGUCCGAGAAGAAUUCAUCAAAAAUCAUGGUCCUGGCGAAAGCCUUACUUCUUACUUACGACAAUGUUUGUCCUUACGCCCCCUCCCCCUCCUUCCACCGAUUGGUGCCGCCACCUCCUUCCCCACAUCCUCUGUUGAAUGUAUGUUCUUAUGAUCAACAUCUAAGGACACGGUUCAUCUUCUCCCUAUUCAAUAGAUUGUGCACAACAGCUAUUCGAUGAAAUGCUUACAUGAACUGGGAGUGCAUUAUGAGUAUAUCUAUCUCCAAUUGUUCAUAAUUUGCACAUGGUCAUGGCCCAUGAUAUGGCAGCUGAUAACUAGUUACUGUUAGUGGAAAUUACGAUCUGCCAUUGAAAGUAAAAAGUUAUCUGCCAUGGAUCGAUAUGGAAUUCUAGAUGACUCGUUUGCAUUGUCUAUGGCUGGCCAGUUGCCUUUAUCUUCUUUGCUUACAUUGAUGGGUGCUUACAGAGAGGAACCUGAUUAUACAAUGUUGUCAAACUUAAUCAGUGUUAGCUCUAAAGUUGCAAGAAUUGUGGCUGAUGCUGAUAACACAUUGCUGGACAACAUUAAGAUUUUCUUCAUCAACCUUUUCCAAUACUCUGCAGAUAUCGUUGUUCAGGCACAUGGUCAUGGCCCAUGAUAUAAAAACUAUUAAUCGUUUGCACAGUGAUGUUGACGUGGUCUCUAGUUUAUGUUGAUGGUACCAUUUCUUUAUAAUACUCGAUCACUUCUUCAGUAAUAUCUGUGAACUAAAUUUGGUCUUCAACUUCUGUAAGGGUGCUUCUAUAAAAAGCUUGGAAUCUGGUCCUUAUGGAAAUGUUACUGGUGUUUAGAUUGAAAAUGGAUCUACCAUUGAAGCAAAUUUGGUGAAUUUCACUGUUUGUUCUAAUGACUUCUUGAUUAACCCUUAAGUGCAUGAAAGGUUAAGUAAUGGGGGCUUCGUGGUGAGAUCAAAGAGGAUGGAAAGCAAAAGGAUGCAAUUGUAUGCCUACAGGUAACACAUAUAUGGUUUUUUGUUAAAUAAAGAUGUUCAAGCAUUGUGGAGGGUGUUAUGUCUGAGUUUCAAAUAAGGGUUAAAAGUUCCCAAAUUGAUGAUGACCAAAAUGCUAGUGAUGAAGGAGAAAAGAUUUCACUGAAUUUGCAUCUUAUGAACCAAAAAUCGAGGCAACUAGGUAGUUAGAGAUGCAAAAGUCAAUUAAAAUGGCCUUAGAGGAAGCUAGUCACAAGGCCUCCAAACAAAGGGGAUCGAUAACGAUCUAUAUCACAUUCUUUUGUAACUAUUAUUUGUGUGCAGUUUACAAAAUGAGUAAGCUGGUUAGAAUUGGAAAAGUUACUGCUUUUAGAAAUCUAUUUUGGUGGUUGUUGUUCUUAACUUUAUUCUAAGAUUCAUAUGAUGUUCUAGCCA